GAGAGAAGCUUGCUUCUCUUGAGAGCGGCGGACGGGUGAGUAAUGCCUAGGAAUCUGCCUGGUAGUGGGGGAUAACGCUCGGAAACGGACGCUAAUACCGCAUACGUCCUACGGGAGAAAGCAGGGGACCUUCGGGCCUUGCGCUAUCAGAUGAGCCUAGGUCGGAUUAGCUAGUUGGUGAGGUAAUGGCUCACCAAGGCGACGAUCCGUAACUGGUCUGAGAGGAUGAUCAGUCACACUGGAACUGAGACACGGUCCAGACUCCUACGGGAGGCAGCAGUGGGGAAUAUUGGACAAUGGGCGAAAGCCUGAUCCAGCCAUGCCGCGUGUGUGAAGAAGGUCUUCGGAUUGUAAAGCACUUUAAGUUGGGAGGAAGGGCAUUAACCUAAUACGUUGGUGUCUUGACGUUACCGACAGAAUAAGCACCGGCUAACUCUGUGCCAGCAGCCGCGGUAAUACAGAGGGUGCAAGCGUUAAUCGGAAUUACUGGGCGUAAAGCGCGCGUAGGUGGUUCGUUAAGUUGGAUGUGAAAUCCCCGGGCUCAACCUGGGAACUGCAU
rnacentral:rRNA from 1 species